AAGCACAGAUUUAUCAAAUCUACCAGAACAGAUGAGGAGAAGAAACCACUGAUGUAGCAGAGGAGGAUAAAGAUGAAGAAAAUAAAAAAGAAGACAGUCAUGAAAAGGAAGUGGAUGUGAUGCGUAUUGUUGAGAAACUCAAUGAUGAAAGUGGUAUCAGCCAAAACAAUUGCUAACAUGUAUUUGGUAACUUGAGAGAAAUAAUUUUUUUAAUGAUUUAUUAGUUUAAUGGUUUAUCUUUUUAUGGAUAAUUGGAUAACAUAUGUAUGGUAACUCAAUGAUGACAAACAAUUUUGCUUUUU